AAUAUAAUGUUUUCAAGAGGUAGUAAUACAGCAAGAGUUGACAAAAUAAUACCACUCAAAUCCAACACACCAAGCUUAUCUUCAUCUACACUUACCACACAGUCAAUUUUUCUCAAUUUGUAUUAAUUCUCAUACAACUAGUUUGAACGCAAGUUUGCUUUGCCGAGUCUGAUCAAAUCUUCACUGCAGAGAACCCCUUUUUCUUUUC
rnacentral:lncRNA from 1 species